UGCUCAGUGGCUGCUGGGCUCACGAUCAAUUGGGCAAAAAGAAUUUCCGUUUGUAACCCAUAACCAAAUCCGUCGCUCAUUACUCAGCAAAAAAAAUCGAUAACUUAUCAUGCUAUUAAAUACUAAAUUUUCGUCAUAUAACUUCAAGAAACAAUCAUCGUUUUGGUCAAAUCUGCGCACCUAAUUACCUUUAAUAGGGAUUUGCUUUAUCUAAAGGACCCUAAAUAUUAUCUCAAGGAGUAUGGGAAUGCGAGCAAAGUCCGGAUUGGAUCCAUCACCUCUCUCCUAAUUGUGAUUGUGUAUCAAUAUAAAUUGUGUAUACAAUCGCUAAUAUUUGUGUCUUCUAAACCAAGCGAUCAUUUAAACUGAUUUCUUUCUUGGCAAAGUACCUUUUCCUACUGAACCAUGAGAAUCGGGAUUUCCAUUGCGUUGUUCCUGUCAGCACUGGGCCUGGUCCAGUGUAUAGAUAGCAGGAUACAGACCAUCCCAGACAGGUACAUCGUGGUACUCAAUGAUGGCGAGAUACUGGACCCUCUGCUCACCCGAAUACAGCAGAAUAUGGUUACUCGCUCGGGGAGGUUUUCUGUCUUUAGGAAAUAUUACAAUGCACUGAAUGGGUUCGCU